UCAACUGAAUUUACCCCAGGUGGACUAAUUAAGCUGUAGAAACAUCUCAAGGAUGAUCAGUGGAAACAGGAUGCAUCUGAGCUCAUUUCUGAGCUUCAUGGCAAAGGCUGUGAAUACUUACUCUUCUGUGGAGCACUUUGGUCCACUGUGGUUAUUUAAGUGCUUAACAAAUUAAGUAGGUUGGUUGAUUAUGUACAUGUGAUUUCUUUGGUUUUGAUUGUUAUGAUU